rnacentral:rRNA from 1 species
GAACGCUGGCGUUAUGCCUAACACAUGCAAGUCGUACGAGAAUUUUUAAUUUAAGUGGCGGACGGGUGAGUAACGCGUGAGUAACCUGCCCCAUACACAGGGAUAGCCAUUGGAAACGAUGAUUAAUACCUGAUAACACAUAUCUACUGCAUGGUAGAAAUGUCAAAGAUUUAUCGGUAUGGGAUGGACUCGCGUCUGAUUAGCUAGUUGGUAAGGUAAUGGCUUACCAAGGCGACGAUCAGUAGCCGACCUGAGAGGGUGAUC